CUUUUUCUUUUUUCUUUCUUUCUUUUUUCGUCUUUUUAGGGCCACACCCAUGGCAUAUGGAGGUUCCCAGGCUAGGGGUCCAAUCGGAGCUGUGGCUGCUGGCCUACACCACAGACACAGCAAUGUGGGAUCUGAGCUUCAUCUGCGACCUACACCACAGCUCAUGACAACGCCAGAUCCUUAACCCACUUAGUGAGGCCAGGGAUCGAACCUGAGUCCUCAUGGAUACUAGUUGGGUUUGUUACAACUGAGCCAUAAUGGGAACUCCCAAACUAUGUUUUAGAACAGUUUCAGAUUAACAGAAAAACUAGGAAGAUACUAUGGAGUUCCCAUAUUAUUAGCAUCUAACUUUGGUGUGGUACAUUUGUUACAAUUAAUGAAUCAAUAUCGGUAAUGACUUUUAAACUAAAGUCUAUACUUUAUCCAGCGUUCUUAGCUUUUCCUUAUUCUGUUUCAGGCUUCCCACCCAGGAUCCCACAUGACAUCUGUGAGAGAAAUACCCAGUUCCUUCCUAUGGACACCCCAUCAUGUCCUGGCAUGGAUUUAUCAUGCUUAUUUAUUUUAAUAAGGGACUCCCAGGUUUCACUCAAAGAAAUCUUAAAAGAACAUGCAUAAGAGUUCUUUGGGUCUUGGAAUAAUACAUGCCUUGUCAUCUGGCCACAAACAGUACAAGCAGGCCCAUCAGGACCAGGCAGGAGGAAGAGGCUAGCUGACCCUGGGCUCAACUUGAGACUCAAAACAGACAACAGGAGAGUAGCCAACAGUGAAAACACUUUCAUUUAUGCAUUUCUCUACAGAUCAUCCAUGAGCUGUCACAAUGCAUCUUUUUAGCAUGGAGUAUCUCUUGAAUUGAUUGAGGGCAAAAGGAUUUUCUUUGCUGUCUUGUCCUGAAACUGCUUUAUUUUCCUAGAGGACCUCUUAAGUAAAAAGUAUUUUAAGUUCAUUCUCUUACACAUGAUGAAGCCUACACACAUGGUGAACUUGGGUUGCCUCAUUCAUUCACUCAGAAUGAUGUGUGGAGUGUCUGCUGAGUGGAGCUAUUGCAGACUGUCAGACUUGUUUUUCUUUGCUCACUUUCUCAUCUCCCCUCCUCUGGCAACAGAUCUGCCCCCAUUCACAGGAUUAGCUCAGGUCAUCACGGACUGUCAGGUCCUCACAAACAGUGUGGCGUAUAGUGUGCCCUGGGCCAGCUGACAGGUAGAUUCUGGGAAGACAAAGCCUUUUUCUGCAGAGGUUGCUCUGUGAAGACAGGACCUGCAGGCAGCCUCUUCCGGGCAGUGUGAGCCUGAGUGUUGCCCUGGCAGACAACCAGGAGAGAACCCUCAGAGAUGGGGCCUUGGAGGGGGAUCCUCUGUCUCGCUGUCAUCCCCAAGCACUGGGAAUCCUUUCUUUGACUGUCUGGAUUACUCCAGCUCUCUACUACCCCUGGAGUGACUAACCUGCCUUUUUUGCUAAGCCGGUGUGAAUUAGUUUCUGUCCCAUCCUCUGUCACUUGUGUUGAAAGAGCUCUAAUAACAACCCUGGGCACUUUGGGUACGUCCUGGUCAACAAAAUAACACUGAGCAUUGGGAUAGUACAAAUAAAACCCACAAUGGAAUACCACACCAUACACACCUGGAUGGCUACAAACCACUGACAAAACCAGUGUUGAAACUGAUGUAAGUUAAUGGGAACCCUUACAUCCUGCUGGUGAGAGUGUAAAUGGGCAUAGUUACUUUCAAAAACUGUUUGGCAACACCUCCUGAAACUGAACAUACACCUCCCCUAAGAUUCAGCAAUUCAGCAUGACAAACAUGCAUGUGUGUCACCAAAAGACAAGCACACAACACCACUAUUUACAAUCACCAGAACCUUCCAAGCCCCAGGAAGAGAAUACUAGGUGGGUGCUUUGUGCCUCAUCCACAGGACAGAAGGUUACAUGACAAUGAGGCAAACAAUCACCAGUUACACUCCACAUGGAUGGACCUCCCACCCUGGGGAGCAAGAGGUACCAACCCAGUCCUGCAGAAUCCUGUGCCAGGUGGGUGGUCCUGGCCCUGUGGGGGAAAUAACUGAAGGGAGCAAAGGGGGCUCUGGAGGUUGCUCUUGCUCUGCUGCCUCCUCUGGACAGUGGUUCUACAAGCUCAUUUUGUGAAAAAUUGUCUGUGUGUUUAUGAUGUGUGCCCUUUCCUAUAUCUAUAUUUUAACAAAAAGUUAAAAUACAUCAUCCUGAGCCCAGGAAGCAUACAAUCCAGUGGAGAAGACAGAAUAAAGUAAAUACACGAAUGUCUCCCCUCUGCCACUGCCAUCCAGGGUGGAGAAUGCUUUGAUCUUUUUUCAUCUGGAAGCCGCAUAGCCAUCUCGAUUCCUUUGUUGUCUCUUUUUGGGUCUUUUCCAGUUCUGUCCUAUCUAUCUGGAUGAGUAGUGACCAUAAAUUCAUGAAAUAUUGUGUACAGAUGUUCCAGGAUUUGGGACAAAUAACAUAAAAUCUAUUUUCUUUUACUUGAUCUUCCUGGAUUAAGACUAGCGAUCUGCAAGCCUUUCUUGAUGCAGAGGUAUCUGAAAUAUUGUUCUGGGAAGCAGUCAAUAUGCGUUUUCUUUGGAUCAUAAUUGAUAGAGAAGGGCACAUCUUUUGAUAUGCAUUUUUGGUAUUUUCUCCCUGGCAGUCUUAUGAACAAUCAUUUUUAAAUUACUUUUCUGUGUGCUCUGAAGAAUGUUUUCAAUACAUCCUCAUCCCCUUGGUAUUUCAGUGCGUGGAAAGGCUUAAAGUUGUCUGAAAAGAUGGAGAUUUUACUGUUGACUCCCUCUUGGUUCAUUUACAUAAAAGUGCAAUUGAAUCUCUACCCUGAAAUAUGGUUCACAUGAUUUUGUUCAACGGGAAUUAGUUGAAUCACAUUUGAGAGAAAUGGGCCAAGAGCUGCAGCUUAGACAUUUUUGUUACAUUAAAAUUUUCUUGUAAAGACAUUUAGUUGAAUGUUCGUAUGCUUUCUAUUUAUCUUUCAUAAUUUCUUUCUAUUAAGAGUUCAGCUUACAUGUACAUUUAAAUAACAUUUGAAGAAAUACUAAUUUCCAGAGGCUAAGGCUGAUGAAAGAAACAGAAAAGGCCUGUACAAACUUAGCUUUAUUUGGGAACAGAGAGACAUUGUGUUGAAGGGCUGGAGGGGAACUCAGGCCCCAGGACCCCAGAGGCUUGCACAACUGUCCAACGUGGAUUAUGUGGCUCAGCAACAAGAGAAAAUGGAAACAGAGGAUGUGGGCCAACAAAGUCAAGGUUUUUUUUUUUUUUAAGACAAAACAGCCAAAGGACAAAUUCCAGUUUCCUAAAAGUCAUACUCUAGCCUUAGACAGACAAAUUCCAUGAUGUUUUAAAUAUCAAAAGCACUAAGCACAGCAUUUACACAUUGGUAACAGAAAGAGAGUUCUUUAUUUACAAGUGCCAUAAGCACUGAACACUAACCAGAUGUGCUUUACUGCCUCUUAUAAAGCAAGAAGAUACACAGAGAAGAAACCAAAACUUGAGUUUGGAAAAAAGUCUUUAUACAAGUGGUUAACAAUUUGUUAUACUAACAGAACUGGAGGAGCUGAAAGCCCUUUGCUCAAGCAUACCUCCACUGACACACUACUAGUGAACUUGAGCAGAAUCCUUCUGUUUCUUCCAAGAGCACUUGCAAAUAUCUGGGCUUUUCUGCCUACACCUUCCUACAUGAAAGUGGUAAUGAUGUUCUGGUAAAGUGUUCCUAAGGGACGGGGCCGACGGCCCUGACUUAUGCAAACGUGGUUAUGAAUGUCUGAAAUCAUGUAACUAAUUACAAGGAGAAGGUGAUUCCCUCUAACACGCUUCUCCUAAGCAACAAAAAUUCACGUCCUUUGGGCAAAAAUACAAUCAGCCUUUUCUUUGGGGGCAGGGUAGGCAGUCAGGGUGAUACUGUGUAGUUUGUGUUUAUUAGAAAAAUACACUAUUUUAAACACAUUAAAAACAUCAUAAUCAAAGACUGGAUAAAGACUCAUAAAGAAUCAGGAAAUGUGACCAUAUGGUUAUUUUCCAUUUAAAUUACAACUACAUUUUGUAAGAUAAAGUAGUUUUAGAAAGGCCUUCUACUGGGAGUUCCCCUCGUGGCUCAGUGGUAACAAACCUGGAUAGUAUCCAUAAGGAUCCGACGUUGCCCUGAGCUGUGAUGUAGGUUGCAGAUGCGGUUCAGAUCCCAUGUUGCUGUGGAUGUGGCAUGGGCUGGCAGCUGCAGCUCUGACUCCACCCCUAGCCUGGGAACUUCCAUAUGCUGCUGGUGUGGCCCUAAAAAACAAAACAAAACAAAAAGGCCUUCAACAACCAUUUGAACUAUCAUAAACUAGCUUGAGAUAAAAUAGUUCAAUGUAAAAAAUAGAUCUGCAGCAUGCUUAAUUUGAAAUCUACCUUAAAAGCAUACAAAACCGGAGUUCCCGUUGUGGCGCAGUGUUUUAAUGAAGUGUCUCUGUUCAGUUAUCACUUGGAUGACUU
ensembl:lncRNA